rnacentral:piRNA from 1 species
UACCUGCCUCUUGAAUUUGACUGUUCUUAGU